rnacentral:rRNA from 1 species
GACGAACGCUGGCGGCGUGCUUAACACAUGCAAGUCGAACGGAACGGCCCUGCUUAUGUGGGGUGCUCGAGUGGCGAACGGGUGAGUAACACGUGAGUAACCUGUCCUUGACUUUGGGAUAUCUUCAGGAAACUGGGGCUCAUACCGGAUAGGAGCUCUUGCUGCUUGGUGGGGGCUGGUAAGUUUCGGCGGUUGGGGAUGGACUCGCGGCUUAUCAGCUUGUUGGUGGGGUAGUGGCUUACCAAGGCUUUGACGGGUAGCCGGCCUGAGAGGGUGACCGGCCACGUUGGGACUGAGAUACGGCCCGGACUCCUACGGGAGGCAGCAGAGGGGAAGGUUGCACUAGGGGCGGAAGCCUGAUGCAGCAACGCCGCGUGCAGGAUGACGGCCUUCGGGUUGGAAAGCGCUUUCGCCUGUGACGAAGCGUGAGUGACGGUAAUGGGUAAAGAAGCACCGGCUAACUACGUG